rnacentral:rRNA from 1 species
AUGUCCUCUAGAAUUAGAAAGUGCCCGUCAGGAUAUGAAAAACGUCAGAAAAAGAAAAAAAAGAAACUUGAUGAAUCUCUGAAAGGUAGUCUUGAUGUGUUUUUUGUUAAAGAACCAAAGGUUUCUUCUGAAAAUCAGAGUGUAGAUGCUAAUACUAAUGAUGUACACGACGAUGACUCUAUCCAUACUGAAACUCAGGGCGAAGAGGUUAAUGUUGUUAGUAACAUGGAUGAGGUACAUGUUGAGAAUAAUAACCCCGAUGAAGCAAAUCAUGGCGAUGAAGUACCUGCUAAUGUUGAUGUUUCUUUGCAACCUGAUAUAUUCGAUCCUCGAAAUUGGGAUGGCCUUGAUUCUAAAGCAAUUGAUAAUUUGGUAGAGAAGGGUCCUAAGAGGGCGCCUAUCCAAAAGGGCCAUAAAGAUAAACUUGGUAGGAGAUUUUCUGCUGUGUUUUAUAGUAGAGGUUUGCCAAAUGGAGAAAUGUGUGAUAGAGAGUGGCUUGUAUAUUCUAAAGAGCUCAAUAGAGUAUUCUGCUUUUGUUGCAAAAAUUUUGGGAAGGGGCGUGCUAGAGGUCAUUUGGCGAAUGAGGGAUUUAGUGACUGGAUACACCUUAGUAUCAGACUUAGAGAGCAUGAAACCGGAGCUGAACAUCUUCAAAAUAUGGUCACUUGGCAUGAGUUGCGCCUCAGGUUGCAACAGAAUAAAACUAUUGAUAGCGCUGCUCGACAACAACUUGAGAAAGAAAAGGACCAUUGGCGUAAAGUAUUGCUUAGAAUUCUCUUGAUUGUUAAAUUUCUUGCGAAACAUAAUCUAGCCUUUCGUGGUACUAAUUCCAAAUUGUAUCAAGAUAGCAACGGAAAUUUCUUAGGCUUGGUUGAAAUGUUGGCUGAGUUUGACCCGGUUAUUCAAGAACAUGUUCGUCGCAUAACAAAUGAUGAAACUCAUACUCAUUACCUUGGUCAUGGCAUCCAAAAUGAGUUAAUACAUUUGAUUGCUUCUGCAAUUAAAUCUGAGAUCAUUAAAAAAAUAAAAGAAGCAAAAUAUUUCACGGUGAUACUUGAUUGUACCCCUGAUGCGAGUCACCAAGAACAGAUGUCUUUGAUUAUACGGUAUGUUGAAACAUCUUCAAGUUCUGUUUCCGUUGUAGAAUCCUUUUUAGGAUUUUUGGAUGUAAAUGAUACCACUGGAAAAUGA